rnacentral:misc_RNA from 1 species
CGCAGUCAGAAAGAAUGAGUCGCGACGGUCAGUCCAUCUGAGACUCAGUGAGUUACUGAGUCAGGAAGUCUCUCUCUCACCAUUCUCUUUUCCACUGUCUCCCUCUCUAUUCCCUUCUGCUGCGCAUUCUCUCUUUUUCAUUCGCUGGAGCCCUUUUUCGUCUUUUCUACUUCCUCUUCUUCUCCAAAUCAGACGGCCCACUCUCCUCCACGUCAACAUCGUCUUCUUCACCACCCCUCCUGUCAUCGUCCUUCUCCUCUCUCUCUUUCUCUCUUAUCAUUUUCCUUUUUAUAUUUAUAUGUAUACGCAAUAACCGCCUCUCUCAACCCUAGGGUUUCACAAACAUUAUCACCUCUCUGUCUCUCUCGAAUGCCUCGACUUUCGGUCUUCGCUCUCCAAUCUCGGCGUCGAAGUUUAAUUCUUGGCGGAGGAGGGUUUUGAUUUGGUUCCGUUCGAAAAAUUUGAAAUUUUGAGUGAAUAAUUGGAGUGGGCACAAAGUGGUGAUUGGCUUCUUGUUGUUGGGAAGGAGUGAUGGCGAUUGAGAAGAACAGCUUCAAGGGGUCUAGGUUCGAUCCAGAGUUUUCUCCCAAUAGUAGGGAGACCAUGUCCAGUGAUGAGGAUGAGGUUCAGCGUCGGGUCUCCGCUGCUGAAUAUGAUGAUGACGAUGAUGAAUUUGAUGAUGCGGAUUCUGGGGCGGGAUCGGAUGACUUUGACUUGUUAGAAUUAGGGGAAACUGGGGCUGAGUUUUGUCAAAUUGGGAAUUUAACUUGUAGUGUUCCUUUUGAAUUGUAUGAUCUUUCGGGUUUAGAGGAUAUAUUGUCUGUUGAUGUGUGGAAUGAAGUUUUAACUGACGAGGAGAGAUUUAGCCUCACUAAAUAUCUGCCUGAUUUGGAUCAGGACACCUUUAUGCGAACUCUUAAAGAGCUUUUUGAGGGUCAGAAUUUCCAUUUUGGCAGCCCUAUUAAGAAGCUGUUUGAGAUGUUAAAACGAGGGUUGUGUGAGCCAAGGGUUGCUCUUUAUAGAGAGGGUUUGGGUUUCUUUCAGAAGCGGCAGCAUUACCAUCUUUUGAGGAAGCAUCAGAAUAAUAUGGUCAGUAAUUUAUGUCAGAUAAGGGAUGCUUGGCUUAAUUGCAGGGGGUAUAGCAUUGAAGAGAAGCUUAGAGUUUUGAAUAUUAUGAAGAGUGAAAAGAAUUUGAUUUAUGAGAAGAUGGAGGAAGAUUUGGAGAGUGAGUCAUCAGAGAGAGAGGAAUUAGGUGAUAGGCUAAGGGGCAAAAGGGUUAAGGAUAGGAAAAGUGCUGUCAAAUUGGGUCUUAAUUCUGCAUGUGGGGCUGGUUCGAAUUUGGAAUUGGCUUCACGAAUAUCUUCAGUGGGUUUAGAAGUGCCAAAGUAUCGAAAGCAGAAUCCAAAGGGUAUACUGAAGUUGUCUGCAUCAAAAACCUUUUCACCAAAGGAGACGGUGAGCCAGUUCCCUUCUGUUUAUGCAAAUUCUAGGCCACAUGGUUUGCCAGCUCCAAUUUCUCGUCAGAAGGUGAUGGGGCUUGAAUCAAGGGCAGCGCUUAGGUUAACAAAUCAGAUGAUAAUUAAUGAUGAUGAUGUUGAUGAUGAUAAUGAUGCUGAAGAUGCUGUGUAUGGGAUGAGCUUCCAACAAGAUUACAAUGUAGCACAUAGUGGCAUGAUGGACAAAUCUGGGGUUCUAAAAGCAGGAAAGAAGCAUGACCUAUUGAAAAGUGAGGAAUUAGGCACUGACAGUUUCACAGGCUUUCCUUUCUCUUCAAAGAAUGAUUUACAUGCCUAUGGGAUGAACAGGAAUGCAAAUCAACUGUCAGAAAUGAAAGGGGUUGCAGCUAAGCCACCCAAAAUUCGAACUUCCCUGGAGUUUGUCAAAAAGGCCAAGUAUCCUGAAAAUGUUCAGCAAUUCGCUUUUGGAGAUCACCUGAAGUCACUGAAAGGCCGAUCACAUCUAACUGUGAAGGGUAACCGGGUUGACUUAUCAGAGCAUGGUGAAACCAUUUGGCAUGGAAAGAACCAAGGACAUGCCAUCUCCAUGGGUUCCUCACUGAAAUCUGAUGAUCGGAAUAUGAGAAGCAAGAAGUGGAAAGCAGGGAGGGAGUCCCCAGAUCUCAAUUUUAAAACACAUCGAGCUUCUUCUCCACAGGUGAAUGAUAGAAUCCUGCUUUCUGACUUGAAAGCAAAAUCAUCUAAGGAGAAAAUCAAAGCAAAUUUUGUGCAGAAUGGAGGGCCAGAUAAAGGAGGUAAGAAAUUGAACAGGAUGUUUGCAAAAAAUGAAGAAACAGAAUCAGACUCAUCUGAACAAUUUGACAAUGAUGAUGAUGAUCCUUUGGUGAGAAGCAAGUCAACUUAUCCCAGUGGCAUCAUGGAGGUUUCUCGAACAUCCUUGUUAAAAUCUGGCCUAGAUGCUAAGAAGGGAAAAUUUGUUAAGAAAGAUAUGCAGGAGAAAGCACUGGCUUUUGGUGGAAUGACAGAUUUCUCCAAAAAUAUGGGUGGCUUUAGUGAGCUUGAGCGCAUCCCAGGAUACUCGUCAAAAGCAAAACAGAAAGGUAAGAUGCGAGACAGCAGUCCAUUGCAUAUCUCUGGAAGUAAAGUUUUGGAAAACAGCUCUCCAUUUGGCUUGGGUAAAGUUACAGAUGAUGAUGACAGGAAAAAAAGUCACAAAUUUGUCAAGAAUGGACAGUUGCUAGAAUCUGCUGAGAGGUUACAUAUGUCUUCAUUGAAAGCCUACCCUACCGACCGAAAGCAGAAAGGGGAGGUCAAUAAAAAUUACACUAUUGAUGAGGAGGAUGAUUCUCUUGAAACGCGUCUAUUGGCAGAUGAAAAUGCACUAGCUAGACUGGGUAGAAGAGGACAGGGCAAUGAAGCAUAUGUUCCUGAUCGACGUGACAGAUCUGAUGCUUCAGUUCAAGGGUUCAACUUAAUGACAAAGAAACGGAAAGCUAAGGAGGAAUUGACCAACCUUGAUAGAAGAGACGAAGAUGGCAAUGUGCAGUCUAGCCUUAAGCAGCAAAUUGAUGACUCCAUUUCAUUGAAGAAAAAGGGAAAAAGAAAAGUGGAGUCUGACACUGGCACUUCAGACAUGGAAACUCCUGAGCCACCUCUUACAGAAAUGGGAGCAGCAGACAUGGGCAUAGAUUCCAAACCACAAAAAAAGCCAUAUACACCAAUUACACCUACUGUUCAUACUGGCUUCUCAUUUUCCAUUAUACAUCUUCUUUCAGCAGUUCGCCUGGCGAUGAUCAGUCCUCUCCCAGAAGAUUCCUUGGAAGUCAUCAAACCUAGUGAUGGGCAUAAUGGAAAGCAUGAAGGUGGCACAAAUGGUGUUGUUUCUUGUGAGAGUGCAGAUGUAAAUAAAUCUGACCAUGCUCUGCAGGUGAAUGUGCCUUCUCUUACCGUACAAGAAAUUGUUAACCGUGUCAGAUCAAACCCUGGGGAUCCUUGUAUUCUUGAGACACAAGAGCCUCUUCAGGAUCUGGUCAGAGGAGUUCUCAAGAUACUUUCAUCAAAAACAGCUCCUUUGGGAGCAAAGGGUUGGAAGGCACUAGGGGUUUAUGAAAAAUCUGCAAAGAGUUGGUCUUGGAUUGGUCCAGUUUCCCAUACUUCAACAGAUCAUGAGACUAUUGAGGAGGUAACAUCUCCUGAAUAUUGGGGCCUUCCUCAUAAAAUGCUUGUCAAGUUGGUUGAUUCAUUUGCUAAUUGGCUGAAAAGUGGUCAAGAGACUCUUCAGCAAAUUGGAAGCCUUCCAGCACCACCCGUGUCAUUGAUGCAAUGUAACCUGGAUGAGAAAGAAAGGUUCAGGGACCUGAGAGCUCAGAAGAGUCUCAACACUAUUAGCCCAAGUUCUGAAGAAGUGAGGGCUUAUUUCCGUAAGGAAGAAUUUUUAAGGUAUUCCAUUCCUGACAGAGCCUUCUCAUACACAGCAGCUGAUAGUAAAAAAUCCAUUGUUGCUCCUUUGAGACGGUGUGGUGGUAAGCCAACUUCAAAAGCCCGAGACCAUUUCAUGCUGAAGCGUGAUCGGCCUCCCCAUGUUACAAUUCUUUGUCUUGUAAGAGAUGCAGCUGCCAGAUUGCCUGGAAGUAUGGGCACUAGAGCAGAUGUUUGUACCUUGAUAAGGGACUCUCAGUAUAUUGUUGAAGACGUGUCUGAUGCGCAAGUGAAUCAGGUAGUCAGUGGAGCCUUGGACCGUUUACAUUAUGAACGUGAUCCUUGUGUACAAUUUGAUGGGGAGAGGAAAUUGUGGGUUUACUUACACAGAGAGAGAGAAGAAGAAGAUUUUGAAGAUGAUGGUACUUCAUCUACAAAGAAAUGGAAGAGACAGAAAAAGGAUCCAGCUGACCAACCCGACCAAGGAGCUGUAACUGUGGCUUUUCAUGGGAAUGUGGAUCAGUCUGGAUUUGAUUUGGGCUCUGACCUCAAUGUUGCACCAUCAGGCCCUGAUGAUGAUAAAAGAGCAAAACUUGUGCAUAAUGAUGCGAAACAAAGCAUGGAGGACAAUGCUGAGACUAGUCAUGUGUCAGAACAAGGCAACCUGCAUCAGGGUCAUCCAGUGGUUUGGGAUACCCUUAGUUUAAAUCCAAUGCGAGAAAAUAAAUUGUUAUGUCAAGAAAAUUCAACAAAUGAAGAUUUUGAUGAUGAGACGUUUGGGAGAGAGAGGCCAGUUGGAUUGUUAAGUGCAAGCUUAUCAUGAAGAAUAUUUCAGGUAGUUUUCAAUAUUUUUAAUUCCUUGAAAAUGUACAGUAUUUUUUACUCAAAUGCCUUUGUAACAUGAUAGUUUAAUUUGUUUUUAAAUCUGUCAUUUUCUAGCUUUGCUUUUAAUGUGAGAAUUCCAUCAAGAUAUGCUAAUUCCGAGAGUUCCUUUGAAACUGUUGUUUAGCCUCUUUAAGUCUUGAAAGUAUUUUUGGGCAUAGUUGAGAGUUUCAUUUUUUGAUCUCAAUAAUCUAUUGUCGUCAAAUGAAUUUCAAGUUUUCUAAUUUGCUCAAGCUUCAGAAUGUGACGAAUACUAAUCUAAUGUAAUAUACAACAGGACACCAACUAUCCUCCAGAAGUUGGUGGUCUAAUUUUUUUUCUUUUUUCCCUUUUGGUUGGGAUCAACAAUACUGUGCAUACAGGGUGGUUUUGCCAUAUUAAGACAUAGCAUUGACCUAAAGCCAUUCGGAACAAUUGUUUCAUGCGAAACUAGUUAAGAGUAGGGUUGUCUCUGAAGUCUGAAGUUCCUUCCCAAUAGUUUGAUUGAAGUGCCAUAACUGGAUAAUGCCUUUAUAUUUAUAUGAAAUAUUGAUAUGUAAUUCUUUGACAAAGAUGCCUUUUUGGUAGAAAGUUGUUGGGGAUUGACAAAAAAAUAUAAAAUUUGUUUUCUAGAGCAGAGUAUAUUUUGUCAAGUUGAAGGCUCACUUGCCUGGGCGUUUCUGGAAGGGUCAUUUUGAUCUGUUCCAUUAUGAAGCCAGAUGGUUUUGCUGGGUGCUUGUAGCCUAUUUGGACCUUCCCUUGGAUUUGAAUUGGCUAUGUUUAGCUUGGAACAGUCUUUCUGAUAUAGCUUGGAUUAUUUUAAAUGCAUGAGUUUUAAGAUUGAUUUCAUGCAUUAGUCUGACCCAGGCUUUGUAUUGCAAAAUAGCAACUUCCCGAAAAACACUCUUGAGAGAGAUUGUGUAGUUGAACUCACGGACUAUUAUAUGGUCAACAUCUUUUGUUGACAAGCACAAGUGUGUCUGGCAAUAUCUUUUGUCGACUGAUUAGCCUUUUCUCAAUAGAUAAACUGCUAUACUUUUUUAAGCAGACAUAUUCGUAAUUUUGUUUCGAAGAAGAGCAUAUCUUAUAACAUUUUGAGUAGAUCUUUUCUGUUCUUGCUUUCGAGUUGUAUGUACUUACCAUGUUAGAGUUUUUUAACAGAGGAGAGCUUCACCAUGUUUUGCAGGCCUGAGGUCCGUCUAUGUCAGAAAUCAUGGUUAGUUCUCUUGAGGGUGGGUGCCAUGCCCAUACGUAAAAGGUUAAAUGUAUAUUGAUUUGAUGCACAAUGUAGAAUAGUAAGAGAUAAUUUGUUGGGGCUCAGAAAUAUGUUCAGUACAGGUGGAUGCUUAUAUGGUCCUAAAUUUUCCCCCUUUUUUCUAUUUUUUUUUUAAUUAUCUAGAUUAAUUUGAAAUAUAGUUCAUUGUUUCCCUUGAUAUGAGUUCAGGAGGAGGAUUUGGCAUUUGUGUAGUGAGGCAUCAUGAUAAAACCUUAGCUGGCUGUACAUAUGGUUUAGAUAAGGUAAUUAAAAAGAAUUUAAAGUUUUUUUUUUUUAAUACA